AGCAGCCGCGGUAAUUCCAGCUCCAAUAGCGUAUAUUAAAGUUGUUGCAGUUAAAAAGCUCGUAGUUGAAUUUCGGGGUUAGUAGGCUGGUCGUGCCACAGGUAUGUACUGGUCUUACUGACUUCUCCUUUCUGAAGAACUGUAAUGCCAUUAAUUUGGUGUUGCAGGGAAUCAGGACUGUUACUUUGAAAAAAUUAGAGUGUUUAAAGCAGGCUAACGCUUGAAUACAUUAGCAUGGAAUAAUGAAAUAGGACGUUCGAUCCUAUUUUGUUGGUUUCUAGGAUUGACGUAAUGAUUAAUAGGGAUAGUUGGGGGCAUUAGUAUUCAAUUGUCAGAGGUGAAAUUCUUGGAUUUAUUGAAGACUAACUACUGCGAAAGCAUUUGCCAAGGAUGUUUUCAUUAAUCAAGAACGAAAGUUAGGGGAUCGAAGACGAUCAGAUACCGUCGUAGUCUUAACCAUAAACUAUGCCGACUAGGGAUCGGAUGAUGUUAAUUUUUAAUGACUCAUUCGGCGCCUUAC
rnacentral:rRNA from 1 species